ACUAAUCCUGUUUAACUGAUCUUGUUUCUCCUAUCAAGGGGCAAGAUCGGUUGUAUGACAUCAUUAAGAACAUGACAGGGGUGAAGGCCAACCCAUUUUUCAAAAUCUGCUGGCUCUACCUCACACCGUUGGUCUCACUGGGCUCUUUCAUAUAUUCUUUAGUUGAGUACCAGCCUCUGACCUUUAAUCGCUGGUACGUGUACCCAGACUGGGCGCAUGUGUUGGGUUGGCUACUGGCCCUCUCCUCAAUCCUGCUUGUGCCUGGAUGUGCACUGUAUAAGUUGA